AGUCACCAGCUAGAGCGCAGCUGAGGCACUAGAGCUCCAGGCACAAGGGCGGGAGCCACCGCUGCCCCUAUGGCGCCCGCCGCCCUCUGGGUCGCGCUGGUCUUCGAACUGCAGCUGUGGGCCACCGGGCACACAGUGCCCGCCCAGGUGGGUGACUCUUGGGGUCACGGGGGACAGCUGCGCAUCACAAAGUGCCCAUUCCAGCUACUGCUACUGCACAAUUCCGGGACAGCAUGAGAGGCCAUCACGUCCCCAGCAGACACGCGCCACGCGCCUCUGGGGACCCACUGGGGACCCGAGGUCUGGCCCGUUGGGAUCCUGGGGUGGUACUCGGUUCCCGACAGCCUUAUGUUCCAGAAAUACCCAGUGGCUUUCUCCGCGAGCUUGAUCAGGGCUCGAAUAACACCCAGCAGGGCUCAGGAACACUGUUCAUCCUUGCGAAAUCCCUUCUGUCCCGCGGUCUCGAGGCGGGAAGGACCAGGGCCACUGCCCCAUUGCUUGAGCGGGUUGUGUCGUCUGAAGACUUCCUUCUCUGCGCCAUGGUCUGUCUCUUUCUUAGAAACCCUGGGAUUACUAGAUGUUGGCGGGGCCAGGAGUCUAAGUAAGCGCCUAGUAUAAGAGACCGAUGGGGAGUGAGUCACUUCUCUGUCACUAGAUUGCUUCCAUGGAUCCGCCUUGCUGUGUUCAGGGGACGUUUCAGAAUGUUCUCAGUGUAGUGGCAGAGAGGGCAGCUACCCCAAGGAACCUCGGGAAAAUGGACCGAUUAAAGAUCCCAGUAUCCGGUAUUCACAUUGCCCCCCUCCCCCCCCCUUCCUGCCUCCAUUGAUCGAAGACAGGGUAAAAAAAGGCAGAUUACAGGUACGGAAAAAUGAGGAGGCUCAGAGAAAUUACCUUUUUUGAAGGAUUUAAAGGGAGCUUGCUGCACUGACAUGCCUUUGCUUGGUUCCAUGUAUGCUCUCUGCCUCCUGAGCCCACCUUGAUGGACAGGGUGUGCUUACCUGACUGCAGGGGAGUAGAGUGGAAGGUGGCUUCUGUUGCGUCCGGAGGUGAUAUUCAAUGGUCCUGGGAUGCAAAGGAAUGGACUCAUCCUUGGUGGGUGUAGGUCCUCAGGGAGGUGUCAAGGAUGGACUCUGGGUCAGGACAGUCCCAGUUCUGAGGGCGGAGUGUGAAUGUGCAUGGUUGUGGUCAGGAGCCUGAGUGGGGAUUGUGCUCUGAGCUCCAAGGAAGGAUAGGUCUUUGGGCACUGAGCUGGGGUCUGUCCCUGGGGACAGACAGAGCACAGGAGCUUCUGUACCGGAUGGGACACGCAAGGCUUUGUGGGAUCCACAGUGGUUUGGCUGAAGGUGUUUCCCUCAGACUUCCUUCCAUACCUGACCAGUCCCAGGUCAGCUUAGACCUUCUACUACUGUUGCGUGGACUCUUAGCUAGUCUGCCUGUGUUCUAACUCCCACAAAUCCUCCUUUGACAGAGAGACCUUGCUCAAGCCCAGACACCUCUAUCUGGGAAGCCUUUGUAGCUCCUAGUGGUGGAGGCAGAACCCUUCCUUACCUUCAAGGUAUUCCAGGCCAGAUGGACAUAUCUGUGUUGCCUGCUCACAUGAACCUAUGCUCUGUGAAGCUGAUGACUAGGUGUCUACCACUGUGCGUGUAUGACCCCUGCACACACAUUGUCCAUAUUACAGAUCUCUCAACACUUCUGAGUCUUUUGUAAAUGCCAGGUCACCAGAAAGGCCUGUACACAUCCCCCCACCUAGACAUGACCUGCUCUAUAGAGCACAGAUUCCAUGCUACUUUUUAUUCUCUGUCCCUCAAGGGUAGAAGGGACCCUUAACACAGAACUGUGCAAGCCUUCUCUUGAUUGAUUCCAAAGAAGCUCCUGGUUUGGGACACUCAAGUGCCAGAUACUGUGUUGGGCACUUUGUCACAGAUUAGCACUGAAACUUCCCUUCCAGCUGUUUCUACAAGGUGGGUACCGUUGUUCCACUGAAAGGUGUGGGGAUGGGUGACAAGCUGUGGCGUAUGCCAGGACCACAGAACUGGGAGGUGAUGGGGUGAGAUUUGAAGGCAAGUUGCUAGCCUGACUCCCAACAUUCUUUCUCCAGACAUUCUCUUACCUGUAUUCCCACUUCUAUCCCUAUUGUGGGACUCAGAGAUAUUGUGUGUAGUGGGUCUGGGCAGCAGAGAGAGCCCUGAGGAUAUUUGAGUAGGUUCCAGGGGCAGCAAACUUACUUUACCCUUCUAUUCAGUCUUUCAUUUAUUUGGCAGAUAAAUAGGUGUGAAACAGGGUAGGUGAGCACUUGUUCUGGUCUUACUUAACCUGAUAUGUAUGGCCUCCCUGUCCCUGGGACUCUCAGGACUGAGGACUGCUGUUUGCUGCUCGAGCCAGAGUCUGUAGCAUCCCAGGCUGACCCUGGAGUGGAUUAGGUACCUGCAGUACUGCUGAACCUGAGAGCUCUUUACUUCUUUCCUCCUAUCUCUGUCUUGUGUUCGUUGGCUGGCAUCCUUCUGGGGCAUCUGUAUUGUGACUGAGGAUGUGGCUUGGUAUUGGGACCUUUAGAUGGCGGUGGUUAGGUGGUCAGGUACCCUGAUAUAGAGCCAUCCAUCCAUCAACUCUCUUGGCAUUUGUCCAUGCAUGCUUCACACACUGCCCACUGGACAGCUCUAGGAAACUACCUCCAGAACCCCAGAAGCCACAUGGCCAGAAGGUCACACACUUCAGAGACUUGGGUUUUGCUCAGAACUGCUCUUGUUACAGUUACAUGGGAUACAUUCGCUUUUGUCGUGGUAAUAGAGAAUUUGCCUGGCUUUUUUUUUUUAAUGAUGAUGGUGUCUCCUGUAGCCCAGGCUGGCCUUCAGGUCACUAUGUUGUUUAGGAUGACCUUGAAGUCCAGAUCUUUUUUGCACAUCUCCAGAGCUAGGAUUACAGCUGUGUGCCAUCAACACCUGACGUAUGUAGCUCUGGACUUGUGUCUCUGCAUGCUGGGCAGCGCUUUACCAGCUGGGCUACAUCCUGAGGCCUUCUCUGGCAUGCUUGGGUUGAAGAAAGUCCUGGUCCCUGGCCCAGUGGCUUCCUGAAACAUUUGUCCAUCUCUAAGGUUGAGUGACACUUUGACAUGUUUUGGCCUUUGCUACCCAAUACUAGCCAGCGUAGCUUUGUAGGGAAAGAGAAGAGUUCACCCAGGGUGUCUUUGUGGGGAAGAAGAGAGAUGUUUGCCACCAUGCCUGGUAUAUAUAUAUAUACAUUUCUUGUUGCUCUUGCUGACAGCUUAAUCACAACACUCAGGGUGGUACAGGCAGGAUUAUCAAUUCAAGGCCAUCCUUCGGUACAUGAAGGGUUUGAGAUAACCCUGGACUUCAUGAAACCAAC
rnacentral:lncRNA from 1 species